rnacentral:rRNA from 1 species
UUCUCAUGCUAUGCUAGGCUCCACAUGAUGGUAGACGGCACCGCUUUCGCUUUGCGUCGCUCUCCGCAUCUCAUCGUGCGUGCGGCGGCGGCGGCGGCGGGAGAAGCAGAAGAGGUGACGAUUGGGUUGUCUGCUGCCUUGGGUUUAGCGCGUUUAAGGUUAGGCCGGAGGUUGUUCGUUUGGGCGCCUUCGAGACGGGCAGCCGCACAGAGGAACCAAGGAGCGCGGGCUAAGAGGGGCUAGGCUUAGUUCGUUCGCGCCGGCGCACGGGGCGGACGCGGAACGGCGUCUAGCCCCUCAAGUCUCUUGGGGUCCAUCGCGACUCCGUUCUGGUUUAGCCGUCGCCAACGCCAACAACAACGCCCACUGCCACUCUACCGGCCCCCUCCCUUGUCCUUUCCCAGACCGCGGCUCCUCGACUCCUAGCCGUCGCCGUUGCACAAGCGCCGCGAGCUCUGCGAGUUCUUCUUCUUCUUCUUCGGCCGCCGCCGGCUCUUCUUCGUCCGCGGCCACCACCUUUUCGGCCUCCACAAGACCCGCGGGCGCGGCGAGUGCCGGUUCAGGACCCGGCUGCAACUCCUGCUACUGCUACUACUGAUGAAGCGGCGGUGGCGCGGCGACACGGGGCAGGCCCUCCGGGUCCCCCUGCUGCGACUACGGCCGGUACUCCUGCUGUUCCUCGUAAGACGGGAACUUGUCCAGGUGGAGCGAAGAGGGUGACGAGCGAACACAGGGGAAGAAAUAUAAGAAUAUACGUACAAAUCAACAAACGUAUACACGACAAAGACCUGAUGUUGCUAACUCGAUGUGGAGUGAUAACGUUCCGAGAGGAGUACACGGCCAAACAAACACAAGACAUACGUACCGUACUACAUUACGGCACCCUUGUUCACCAUAACCCCUGAAGUCCUAUCUUUAAGGGUGGUACUCGGUUAAAAACAGACGGCAGAACCGCCGUAGUUAUUUGAGACGCCGCAGUGCGGUACGUAAGUAUCCCGUCGUGCACCUGCCAACUGACGAUACCUGUUAAAUAGCAACGUACUUUUACACUAAACAGUUAAAAAAGGCAAUGGCCUUACAAAACUCUAGAAACCGUGCGAGAUAAAUACUUCCGAGUUUAAACGACAAGUGCUCCAUCGGUUAAAUCCAUUACAACAACGUGCCCAUAAACUACACACUCCUAUACCGCUAUACAUUGAUCUUAAUCAAAUAAAUACCUCAUGAACUAUAACCACCGUGGCUAUCAUAUUACGAACGACUGGAUCAGACAUCUUUAAUUAGACCAAUAUCGAAACACUGCGUUCGAUUAAACACGGAUACCUUAGCCCUUCUUGUUAUUACGUUUAUUAAUUCACUUUUUUACAGGACUAAUGUUAUUCUAUUGACUAAUGUUGAAUGAUCGCCGGGUAGAACAUCUUAUAAAUACAAUCUGAUUAUCAGAAACCCGUUAGUCCAGAUUCAAUUUCUAUCUAAACCUACACACUCCUAAAUGGACCGUAUUAAUCGUGCCUUAGUGGACGGAUGUAAACUACAUACGGAAGUCGUCUGUUUGAUAUUACGUUUAUUAAUUCACCCUGUUUUGAUGAGGGAGACAUUUGAAAAUAUUCUGCAAAAUCCAGUGAUAAUGUCUCCAUCAUACAACAUUUUCACUUGAUGAUUACCGGGUAUAGUUUGUUAUGACUACAGUCAGGGAACACAUUAGUCGACCUUAGAUGUAUAUAUAAACCUACCACCGUAAUGAUGGUGAACGGACAAACCCAUACACGGUACCUUCGCAAAAACCCGUUCACACUAAAAAACUACCUAUUCUUUACAGACCGGUAUCAAUAAGAUCCCAAGAUCGAGUUUGACUAUGUAAAUAAAAGAAAGGUCUAAACCAGAAUAAAUAAGAGUAAAAUAAAUGAGGUCUUUAGAUCGACCACAAGACGGAAGGCAACUUAGUUUCCUUUGUCCCACCCUUUUUUUGGGACAUUCGCUGACAGUGAGUGCCCACACUUUGUUACGGCAGUCGGUCCCGCAAAAAAAAGGAAAUCGUAAAGGAAGACCAAAACCCAGGUUGGUUACUAUUUUUCCUUCACGAAUUCGAACACGGAUCCACGAUCCACAAUCGUCUUACGGACUGGAAUUCGAAUCACACGAAUGCGUUAUAUACGUGACCCGUCUCCGUUUAGAUCCUUAAAUACGGGUCGCGAAAAAAAGGGCCUGGGACACGUUCGCCCUCGAUGUACGUGGCCCGACGGGGGGAAAAUAGAACCCAGAUUAGUUCCUAUAGAAAGUAGGAUCGGGUGUUGCCAGGUCAUGGGUCGGACCCCGAACCGUUUAAGGGACGAGACGGACUGAGUUAACACUGUACCCUGGUGAACAUGUGUUACAACUGAACCACGACACUUGUCGUAGGACGUAGAAAUAAAUUCAAAAUUAAGACAACUCAAGAUGUGUUGACCUAAAAACAACAUAUUCUAUAAUACAACUGAAGAUCUUAUAAGGCUCAUAGUAUUCUUCACUGAAAUGACCCGGAGACCUUUUUGGACUUAAACUCCAGUGCAACAACACUAGACACUCGUUAAGGAUGAUGGACUUGUCUUUUUCACGAAGUUAACUAGACAAAAUAAAUCGAAAGAGGUAUAGAACGCCACAAUCGAAAUCUAAGAUCCAAAGUACUACUUACUUUAACCCUCACGACGAGGAUGUAAGAUCUUUUCGAAAUCUAAAGUCCAGUUUAAAUCACCCUGGUGUGUUUUGUAGGUGAUGAGAUUUAUAUCAUACACGGGAAAUAUAAAACAUGAGGGAGACAGGGUUUUAUAUUCUUGCAAAAACUGUGAUUUGCAAGAAUAUAAUACCCUGCCUCCCUCAUCAUAAUUCCCAAUUGAGAGGUAUACGGUUGACGUGUGACGUCCUUUAACUCUCACUUCUACUAUCGGAACUACUACUCCAACUACGGCGACGACUCCUACUUGUACUUCGUCCUCUACGACAGGGAAGACUCGACAGACAAGUCUUUCGACAUCGAGGUGAUCAUGGAGGAUUUCUUUGCCUUUCUGUCGAUAGGUUCCUCAAUUUCUUUUUCCUCAACCUUCUCGAACUACGACAUAACCGACUCAACCCUUAAAGUGUACUUAGUUCAUUACGAUGAGUUCUACUUUGUUUACUGUUCCUUCCAUACCCAGUCCGACGACUACCUCCCUUUUUCCUUCUACGUAGGCGAGGAGACCUCUCAUUCUGGAGGUUCUUCUUCUUUCGAUUCUUUCUGUUCAGGAGUUUCCUCCGUCUUCUUUGUGACCUAGUCUUGUUACACCAGCUGCUACGACGACCACGCCUUGGACUACUUCUACAACGAAGUCACCUACAGUUCCUCGCGUAUUUCUUCCAUCGUAGUUACUUCUUUUUCUUCAGCUCGUUUCUCUACCUGCGUCGUCGUUUCUAACGUCGUAGACUCCGCCGGCGAUCCUCUCGUUUCGAACGCCGUCGUUUCUUCUUUCUGUUCUUGGUGAUAUUAGUCGUCGGGCACGCCACUUAAUGACGAGUCUAAUACGUUAAGGAAUCUAUGACACACGGAGGCGAUCCUCCUCCGGUGGCAGACCACGCGUAGAACCUUAAGAGAUAUCUACCUGAACACCACAUGACUCGAGACUUAACAAGUAGUGUCUUUGGGAAAACUUAUGUACCAUUUACACCUAUAAAGCAUGAUAUACAAAACAAAACUCAAUUUAUGUGGCCUCCACGGAUUUGAACAGGACGUG